AACAGACUGAUUAAACUGAAUUUUCUUGCACUCUUCGAACUCGACUGAACUCUUUAUGAUCUCUCUGAACCGACUGAAACCUUUUAACCGACUAAAAAGCUUUUUUCGUAUGCUGCUACUCUUAUUUAUAACUAAUUCAUGGGUAAUGGGACUUCUAUUGUUCUAUGGAGCCGUUGUACACAUGGCAUAUAUCGUUUCGUGUUUCUUUCAAUAGAGUAUAGUAAGUUUUGUUUGUUUUAUUUUUUUUCUUUUUUUAUUUAUUUCAUGGAAAACGUCGUGAAGUGGUUGUCUUCAAUGUGUAGUUUUAUAUGUUUUGGUUACUCAUUAUUUAUUUGUAUAGAUUAUUUGGAUUUUGAUAAUUACUUUCGGUAUUUUUAUUGGUGAUUUACAUGAAUAUAUUUUGAUAUGUAGUUGCAGGUUGUCCUAUCUCCGUAGCGGCAUAUUAUGAAUUUUGAUUUUGUUAUUUGUUUAGAUUGAUUAUUAGUAGAUUUCUAUUUGCAAUGCGUGGCUUGAGGCUUCAUUUCAACGUUUACGUUUUAAGGUCAUCUCGUCCUUGUUUCUUUACUAAUAAUGGUAGUGUUGGGAGUUUUGCUUAUUUAUUAUCUGUUCACAAUAUUUAGAAUCCGAUCAGUAUUUUCGUUUAUGUUUUUCUUUUGGAUACAGGUUAUAUGGACACGGAGGUAUUUGCACCUGAGCAACCUGUAUUGUUGUGUGCACUGAGCAAUGCAAGAAGUGGAAAAAGAAGAAUAAGGAGAAACGCAAGUCACGCAAACGGUAUGUGAAUGGUUCGAGAAAGUCUAACGUCAAUUCACAUCAGAGACCAGGCCACACACCACGGACAUGAUGACACCCAGAUGUCUGCAUAUCCUUGGUGCGCACCCUCAAUAGUCUUAAGUGCCCACCAGGGGCCUUGGCAUUUUCAUGGUUAAGGUCCUUCGGACCAAGCGAGUAUUUCCUGUCUUAGAUUUCCCUUUACGUUUAUUGUCUACCACGUGUUAGCUUAGAAAGUUGGUUUUCUCCACAUCUGGUAUGUUCCGUUAGCAACUUUCUCGCGAGGGCGGCUAAAACCGCCCUGGUCCACCAACCUGGUCUUAUUAUCCAAUCGGAGACGGUGUCUACUGCCCUCACUUCCUUAACCAAAAUUGUCAUCAACAAAUCCGAUAGUCCCGUGUCCUUAGACACACCCACCCCUAGCUUUCCUCAGACACAGUAUCGUCAGUAAAACUUCACUUAUUCUGUAUCCUUAGAAUAGUCAACAUAUCUAUAUCGGUCUCUACCCUUAUAAGUCGCGUACUUAAUGUAUUGUUGUAACUAAGUCUUACACAACGUGGUUGGAGUGAAUUGUGAUUUAUGUUAAUUCAGUGCGUGUUACAUUGUGAUUGGUGAAUUCACAAUAAAGGUUGAUUAAAACAAAGUUAAUUGUUGUGUUACGACUCAACUAUAUUUUAUUUUCACCAACCAACCCUAAAAAUUACGUGACAAAAGCGUGGUUGUCGUGGCGGUAUAAGAAACCAUGCGCAGAAGUUGAGGACGUUGGAGAGGGUGCGUUCUGAACAGAUAGACACUGUGGCUUCGACAUCAGCCUCGGAUCCUGAUGGUUCUCUGGCCGUUGAGCUGGCCCUAUCGGAUGAAGACACCGUUGAGCUACCGAUUCUCCAUCGAUCGAAGUCCUUGAUACGGAUAAUUGUUCAAGGGUUCGAUUCCUGGAUGAAAUUCCUGCGGAGGUUUUGGACGCUUACUUGCGUCAUUUCUAUUCUGGUGAAAGGGGGAUUUCUCCUGUCGUGCGUUCGUGGUGUAUAAAAAAGUUUUGCGAACUUAAUCCAGGUGCUCCGUAUUUUGACUUUGAUUUUAUUUGAUAGUAGUGUCUUGUUUAUUUACCGUAUUUUAGAUAUAUAAGUGUUGAUUUGUUUGGUGUUAUAGGUCGAAUAAAGAAUUUUUUUAUUUUAUUUAUUUUUAUUUGCGCGGUAUUUUAGUUCGUCGUAGUUUUGUGUCUUUCUUGUGACUACAGGUUAUGUUGUGUAGGUAUGUAUCCUUUAUUUAUUUUAACCUCGUCCUGUUUCCUAUGGUGCUUCGUCUAUUUCCCUCCUUAAUCUUAUGUAUUGUUUCAGCGUGAGGGGAGGAGAUAUUCCAAAAGUGUGUAUAAAUGGCUCAUGAAGGCGAUACGGAUGAUUCGUAGAAAGUCUCGUUUCCCAAAGGAGGCUCCUGUCGAAAUCUUGGAUGUUCUUUUAUGUCACCGCUCUUCUAGUCAAAGGAAUUUUCUAUUGUGUGUCCAUGGUGUAUAGUGUAUGUUGACGUUUCGUGUGUGAUUUUAUUAAUAUAGUGCCUUGUUUGUUUAUGUGUGUCGAUAUGCCUAGGUGUUAUCUAAUGGUAUAAUUUUGUAUUUUAUAUAGGAUAUAUUUUGUGUGAUUGUUGCUUCCGGUGUUUGGUUUGGUUUAUUGUUAAAGCGAAUAUAGGUUUUGAUGAUUUGGUGGAUGCGGAGAUGUCUUCAUCAGAGGCUCUCAAAUCAUAAAUUCGUAAAUUAUCAUGGUUAAUUAAUUAGUUGAAAUCGCUGGUUAAUCUUUGUUGAUAGAAUUUCAAAUCGUAAUUUGAAUUGUCAAUCAUAGGUUAUUCCUGAUUGUAUAUUGUUAUAUUAUGUUAUGUAGUAUUAUUACAUUUAUUAAUUUAUUUUUA